rnacentral:rRNA from 1 species
AACGAACGCUGGCGGCAGGCUUAACACAUGCAAGUCGAACGCCCCGCAAGGGGAGUGGCAGACGGGUGAGUAACACGUGGGAACCUUCCUCGUUGUACGGAACAACUCAGGGAAACUUGAGCUAAUACCGUAUACGUCCGAGAGGAGAAAGAUUUAUCGCAAUGAGACGGGCCCGCGUCGGAUUAGCUAGCUGGUGGGGUAACGGCCUACCAAGGCGACGAUCCGUAGCUGAUCUGAGAGGAUGAUCAGCCACACUGGGACUGAGACACGGCCCAGACUCCUACGGGAGGCAGCAGUGGGGAAUCUUGGACAAUGGGCGCAAGCCUGAUCCAGCCAUGCCGCGUGAGUGAAGAAGGCCUUCGGGUUGUAAAGCUCUUUUGUCAGGGACGAUAAUGACGGUACCUGAAGAAUAAGCCCCGGCAAACUUCGUGCCAGCCGCCGCGGUAA